UAACCAGGCCCAACCCUGCUUAGCUUCCGAGAUCAGAUGAGAUCGGGCGCGUUGAGGGUGGUAUGGCCGUAGACUUGGCUAUUGUAAAUAAUGCUGCAAUGAACCUGGUGGUACAGUAGGCUCCAUGCCCAGUGUGGAGCCCAACGUGAGGCUUGAACCAAUGACCCUGAGGAUGAGGACCUGAGCUGAGAUGAAGAGUCAGAAACUUAACCAACUGAGCCACCCAGGUCUUAAUCAUUUUCAGAGUGGUCUUUGAAAUUUAAGAUGGAGGGGGAAAAAAAAUCAAGAGUGACUGAUUUUGUUAAAGGCAGAGUCUGAGAAGAUGAAAACCUGCUGACAGCGAGAUGAGGAAGCCUACAAGGAGUAAAUGUACUUAAGAUGCUCACACCACCAGGUCAGUGGAGGUACUUGGUAAAGGUGUAUUCUGUAAGGACGAGGUCUGGGGGAAAAAACAACAACACACACAACACAUACAAAACCCCACAAAAAACAAUGUGCCCCUCUGCCUCCCAGAUCUGUGAUUGUGGUGCCUAUGAAGAAGGCUAGAGCCAGAGAGGCCUAAAUGGGACUUCUUUUUGGCACUAUAUACUCAUUCCUGGUCAUAUCUGUUAGUUAAGUUACUUAGUUUCUGUUACCACCGAUGCUGCAGAUAGAAAAGGAAGACAAA